CCAUGUUUUUUUACAGCCUAUGGUUCAGAGUAGCAGUGAAGCUCCUCCCCCUCUGCUCUCUCUCUCUCUCUCUGUGUUUCUCUCUGUCUGGAUCUGGGCUAGUGUUUGGUGGCAGCGUUUCUCUUCAUUGCAGGGGCAGCUUCAUUCUCUCCUCCAGGAUGUCGGGCCUUCUGACCACCUCUCUUCUGCUCUUCGUCUCCCUGACGCUGUUCCAGACUCCCACACCAGAAGCAAAGCCUCUCUCUGCCAUGCGUGGAGGAGGUGGAGUCCGUCUGCGAAGAGACUUGCGGGAUUCAGUGCCCUACGAGGCCCAGAUGAUGUCUUACCCCGCUGCUGACUUCAGGAGGGGAAGCAAUGAUCUGUACUACCAGCCAGAGGUCUUGAGAGCUCGAGGUCUUGGACAAGCCCUCCAGCGACUGGUGGAGAACGAUCAGAGGCGGGAACAGGAAGCAGCUUAUCUGGCGUCGAUGCUGCGGCUCCUGAACGAGGCACAGAAUAACGGACAGGGCAAACCUGAGGAAGAGGAGGAGGAGGAGGGUAAUUUCCAGGGCCCGUACCCUCCGGACUACGAUGAGACCGAGCAGGCCGUGAGCAUGGCCAAGCCUCAGGCUUCAUGGCAGGGCCUUCUGGAUCCUCAGCUUACUCAGGCUCUACUCAACCGCUACAAGCAGGAGAGACUGAUGCAGGCUGGACUCGCUCCGAACACCAACAGGAUUCCUGAGAGAGAGCAGGACAAAGACCAAGAGAUGCUCAGGUACCUUGUUGAGAAGAUCCUCUCCAGCUUGGCAUCGGGUGGCAAUCAGGGAGGCCCUUCAAACCAGCGUGCUAAACGGGACCUGAGCGCUGUGGCCAACAUGGAGCAAUCUCUAGGACCCGUCCUAAAACGCUCCCGCCGGUCCCUGGACUCCGCCCCUGGCCCCUCCCCCCAGGUCGAGGCAUCGCUACUGAGGGUGAAACGGCUCGAUGACGAUGUGGACGACGACGAGGUCGCAGGGCAGAGCAACAGAACACCACACGUCGGCCUGCAGAGAAUGAAGCGCAUAGACACUGACCUGCCGCCCCCCAAAAAACACAGCCGCAAGCGCAGAGCCCUGACCUAUGACCCCGCUCUGAUCGCACAGCACAUCCUGCAGUACCUGCCAGCCUAAAGAGUACGAGAAAGUGAGAGGAAUAACAAGGAAACGUUUAGGGGAAAAUAGAGGAAAAUCUAGACAGACAGAGGGACUGCAACAUUUUACUUGCUUACAGAUACGCCAGCGUUCAUUGUCAUCUGCCUAAUUCUAAUCAAGGCCUGCUUGCCGAGGUACUUUGAUAUGAUGUUGCUCUGUUUCAAUGUUAUACUAUAAUAAAUCCCACACACAUAACAGCUUAUGGAAUAUGCUUUUUGUUUAUCUUCUUUCUGGCUACAUUAUACAGUAUGGAAGGCCUUUUCUGCCCAAAAAAUUUAAAAGGUAAUGGAUCAUAUCUCACAAUUCUAACUUUUUUCUCAGAUUAUAUCUCAAAAUUCUGCCUUUUUUCUCAGAUUUCUGAGUUUACAUCUCACAAUUCUGAGUCUGAUUGCAGGAUAUAAACUCCCAGUUCUGACCUUCUCGCAAUUAUGUGUUUUUAUCUCACGAUUCUGCCUUUUUUUUCUUUCUUAGAACUGUGAGGUAUAAACUCGCAAGUUUAUAUCUCCCAAUUCUGACUUUUUUCUCUGAUUUCUGAGUUUACAUUUUGCAAUUCUGACUUUUUUUUCUGAGAAUUGCUAUAAAGUCAGAACUGUGAGAUCGUAAGUCUCAGUUACCUUUUUAAUUUUUUCAUUCCAUAGUACAGGCAUUAAAUAACCUUACUGACAUGGAAAUUAGCAUCAGUUACUGGCUUGCACAAGCAGCUCAUCGCUGUUUUUGUCAGAAUCAACAGGAUCAAGGUCACACUAAUCUUUAUUACAGACUGAGAUGGUUUUAAAUGACGCUUCACUAUAAAUAAGAUCUGUUGAAAUGCUGUUGAUAACUCACUUGGUCCUUAAAAACAAAACCACAGCUUGACCAGCAUUUAGGUGAUGUUUUGUCACCCAGAAUCCCUGAGUUUCUCAACAGCUGAAAGCAGCAUGACUGUGCUUCUACAGAGAUCCAAAUAUAUCCGAGUUUUGCUACAGCUGUCAGUGGGUUUGGAGACACUCUGAUUCAUAUUGUGAGCAAAGCAGCAGUAACUAUAACAGCAGGCUCACUCUGUAUUUCUGCUGUGUAACUGAAUGGCAGCUCUAUAUGGAAAAUAAAGUGAUUUCUGGGAUGCUAUAUUGAUUUUUUUUUUAUGUGAUAGCCAUAAAUUAAAUAGUUAUCAGGAGUAGGCCAUUGAUAAUUAUAAACAUUAUAUAAUCUAAUUUACUUAAACUACUGUUCAAAAGUUGGCG
ensembl:lncRNA uncharacterized LOC107552210